UCCUGUUUCUAUACUCCGAGAUCUAGGCUAGCCUGAUGGGGAAGUCGCAAGUUCUCUAAUGCGGUUUGAAUCGUUUGCUGGCCACCCACGUGUUAGGAUCGAACCCGUGUUCAGACUGUAGGUGGUGGAGAGCGGUGUUCCGGCGGAGGGAAUCGGGCCCUGGGGCUGUUGAAUUCAAAACAGGCUGAAAAUGGAAUUGAUUUUCUGGGAGGAAACAAUUGCUUUGGACCAGUGCCAUGUUCCAGAUAUGGGGAGCAAUGAGCUGAUGGUGAAGAGGCUGGAGACUGAAUCCCCAACCCCACAAAACGAUUGGGGCUGAAGAGGACAAAUGAAGUAACUGAAUCUUGAAAAUGGGCUGAAAUGAAACAUCCUGGACCUGAGCACACAGGACAGUAAGGGGUAAGAGUCUCCUACUGAGUAGGGCCUUAAAGAAAAGGGACUGAGUGGUUUUACAGCCUACAUGAGCUGAGUUAAGGAUAAUCAGCUCCUGUGCUUUCAGGGCUUGCUCUGAUCUCUGUGAGGGGUAGUGGGGAGUAGUCAGAGGUGUGUUGCUGGAGGUAUUGGGUGACCAGAUGUCCCGAUUUUAUAGGGACAGUCAUGAUUUUUGGGUCUUUUUCUUGUAGAGGCUCCUGUUACCUCCCCGCCCCCUGUCCUGAUUUUUCACACUUGCUGUCUGGUCACCCUAUGGAGGCAGGAUGCUUGACUUGAUGGGCCCAUCCACUGUUUUAUUAGUAGUUAUAUUACACUGUUGCCUAGAGGCCUUACUGUGCUGGAGGUUGUAGAGUCACUUAAAGAGACCAUCCCUGUCCCAAAGAUAUUUUGUUGGCUUUGUCUGCUUAGGUUAUAAAGGAUGGAAGACAGGAAGUAUCAGCAUUACAGAUGAGGAGAGCUGAAGGCUGAGAUUUUUCAAAGGAGCCCAGUGGAGUUAGGCACCCAAACCAGAGAUUUUAAAGGACUUAUUUGAGGUCACCCAGGGAGCCUGUGGCAGAGCUGAAAACUGAGCCCAGAUGUCCCAGUCCAGAGCCUUAACCACACAACUAUCUUGAGGAUGGGUGUUGAUUGGAGACCCGGCCCACAAGACAUUUCUUCUCAGACCCAUGAGACCCUUCUGUGCUUUGUCACUGGUAGUGUCACAGCUGGGUCUGAGGGCGUGGGUGGAGUCUGCCAUGAGUAUAUUCAAUCCGUCUUUCACCUGAUAACACAUGCCCUGAGCAGACCCCACUGCAUUGCGGAUGGAGAAACGCAUUAACUCCCUCUCCCAUUUUGAGCCUGCAAUGAAAUCUAGUAGAUGUGGUUAAGGUUUAACGCCUAGAGGAACCAUUAUAACUAGAUAGACUGACUCCCUGCAUCGUAGGGAACAUAGAAAGUCACAGAGCAAUCCCCACUAUGACUCCCUGACUCCUUCCUAUUUCUAAAACUCAACCAUUAUCCCCCCUAUCCCUGCAUGCUGCUUUUAAAUAGUUCCCUGCACUAGCCCUUCUCACCUCACUGCGUCUCCAGGCAACUUCACUGUGCCAUUUCCCUGGCUGGAACUGCUGUGCCCUUAGAAGCUGCUCGUAUGGCCUUAUUGAAAAGCCAGAUCUUUAUAGGCCAGACGAAACUGUUAGAUUGCCUAGUCUGAGCUCCAGUUUAAUACCAGCUGGAGAACUUCACCUAGCGAUCCCGCUGAUUGUAUUUGAGUAACACAUCCCUCCUAGAAAGGCAUCCGUCUAAUUUUUCAGCGUCCUUAUUAAAAUUUGGACACCAGAACUGGAUGCGAUAAUCCAGUAUCAGACUCACCAGUGCCAUAUACAUGGGUGAAAUCGCCUCCCUGCUUCUACUGGCUAGUACCUGUUUAUGCAUGUGGGGAUUUUAUCUGUCGUCUUUUUGCAGGUGGAGUUGGGAAGCUCGGGAGCCCAUGUUGGAACAUGAGGCAGUUGGAUGAGGAAGCAGCUAAAAUUCUCAACCACUUGAGGUUUCAGAGUCCUGGGUGGUGGUUUGUGUGUGGGAGGGGCAGCCACAUUGCCACUUGUAGGACUUGGAGGGGUCUGCUGUGAUGAACUGCAUGUUCAGUCCAUGUUUCACCUGAUCUACCCUGAUUACACACAUGCCCUGAGCAGACUAAUGAAACAAACAUCUGUAGCUGAGGUCUGACUUGGGGGAAAGCUGAUCUUCUAAUGGUCUCCAAUGCAACCAUAAGUCCCAGACAGUGAGGAGAAUAAGUAGCAGAUCCAUGCAAACUCUUCAGAAACUUGGUUCUGGUUUUUGUGCAAAUGAAAAGAGUAUAGAUGCAAGGAAAAGUUUUCCAUGUAGUUGAUAGCUUUUUUUUUUUUCUUCCCUUCUUUCUCUCUCUCUCUCUCUCCAUUGACUUGGAAAUAUUUCCUCCUUGUAUCUCUAGGGGCAGGAACUCUAAAAACAAAAUUGGAUGGUUUCUCCUCCCUCCUCACCCUGGAUCCCUUAUAGGAAUCACAGAUGGAUGAUUUUGAGAUGAGCCUUCAAGGAAAAUGUAUCUUUCUCUCCAUCAAUGUCAACUGUAAGAGAGAAUUUGGGCCCUGAAAAUAAAAGUUUUGGCCUCUCUCUGACCUGUAUUACAAGGACUCUUCAAAGUUAUGUCUAGGAAAGUCUGUACUAAAAACAGGAUUAAACUAGAAUGGAUGUGUAAAAGUUGGGUAUUUUUUGUAAAAACGUUCAGUGGUAGAACUGAGGAAGAAAUGGAGCUUUUUCAACUGUAAUCCACUGGUCUGAAUUCAGCCCAGUUUUUUCAGGGAAUAUUUGAGGUGCUGAGGGCCAAGAAUCUAUUGAUUUUGGAGAAAAUUGGAAAACUGAAGGGGAAAGUGGAGAGGGAGAGAGAGCUGGAUGGAUACACAGAGCCCCUGCUAGCUGUGUAGCACAACUGCAGAUUCAAGCAACUCAGCAAUUAACUAUAGACUCAAGAACUGGUUAAUGGCAGCCAUUAACCCCUUUUCCCCCAUAACAAUGCCCCUAUCUAAUGUGUGUGUCCUGCUGUCAUAAACAGAUAGCUAAAGGUUAAUGUCUCUUUCACCUGUAAAGGGUUAACAAACAGUGACCUGCAAC